rnacentral:rRNA from 1 species
UACGAAGGGGACUAGCGUUGUUCGGAAUCACUGGGCGUAAAGCGCACGUAGGCGGAUGUGUCAGUCAGGGGUGAAAUCCCGGGGCUCAACCUCGGAACUGCCUUUGAUACAGCACGUCUCGAGUCCGGAAGAGGUGGGUGGAAUUCCUAGUGUAGAGGUGAAAUUCGUAGAUAUUAGGAAGAACACGGUGGCGAAGGCGGCCCACUGGUCCGGUACUGACGCUGAGGUGCGAAAGCGUGGGGAGCAAACAGG